rnacentral:rRNA from 1 species
UACGGAGGGGGUUAGCGUUGUUCGGAAUUACUGGGCGUAAAGCGCACGUAGGCGGAUUGAUAAGUUGGGGGUGAAAUCCCGGGGCUCAACCCCGGAACUGCCUCCAAAACUGUCAGUCUUGAGUUCGAGAGAGGUGAGUGGAAUUCCGAGUGUAGAGGUGAAAUGCGUAGAUAUUCGGAGGAACACCAGUGGCGAAGGCGGCUCACUGGAUCGAUACUGACGCUGAGGAGCGAAAGCAUGGGGAGCGAACAGG